rnacentral:misc_RNA from 1 species
UAAUCAAAGUGUUUUUAUGGCACUUUUAAAAAAAUCCAUAUCCACCUUGUGUGCAAUGUCAUCUCACUGGAGGCCAGCGGCUGUAAAAAGCCUGUUUGGUCGCCUUUGGGAUUUAUAUCUACUCAGAACUUUAGUGAUUUUGUCUGAAAAAUAUUAUGAAUAACUUAAUUCAAAAUA